UCGGUCGAAGCGUAAAUUCAAUUUAAUUUAGUCGCCUUCCUAACACUCAGAGCAAGUUUCAGGAUGAAUUUCGUGAUAUAACUGCGCAUUUCCGUUGUAUAAAUUAUUACGGUAAUCAGCCUCACUGUGUGCCGUCAAGAGUCUUGAAUUUCAAGGAAAGUCAUUACAUUUAGGACUUCAACAGCAUCAAUUUAUCAUCUACAAUGGCAGUUUUGGUGAAAACCUGUUGUUUCGGCUGCAGUCUUCGUACAGGUGUUACGAUUCUCGCAAUCUUGGACAUGUUUGCAUCAGUAUAUUUCAUUUCUCAUGAAAGUUGGCAAUCUAUUAAACUUUAUAAACAUCUGGAAGAGAACGCCGAUGACCCAAGCCAAGAUUUGCCUUUCAGCAAAAUGCAUUUUCUCGCGAUCAAAAGACUGAGUUAUGUAAACCUCGCAUUCAAAGUGAUCUCACUUUUGGGGAACCUGUUGCUUCUGGCAUCCUGUAGCUCAG